rnacentral:rRNA from 1 species
AGAGUUUGAUCCUGGCUCAGGAUGAACGCUAGCUACAGGCUUAACACAUGCAAGUCGAGGGGCAUCAGGAAGAAAGCUUGCUUUCUUUGCUGGCGACCGGCGCACGGGUGAGUAACACGUAUCCAACCUGCCCUUUACUCGGGGAUAGCCUUUCGAAAGAAAGAUUAAUACCCGAUAGCAUAAUGAUUCCGCAUGGUUUCAUUAUUAAAGGAUUCCGGUAAAGGAUGGGGAUGCGUUCCAUUAGGUUGUUGGUGAGGUAACGGCUCACCAAGCCUUCGAUGGAUAGGGGUUCUGAGAGGAAGGUCCCCCACAUUGGAACUGAGACACGGUCCAAACUCCUACGGGAGGCAGCAGUGAGGAAUAUUGGUCAAUGGACGAGAGUCUGAACCAGCCAAGUAGCGUGAAGGAUGACUGCCCUAUGGGUUGUAAACUUCUUUUAUAAAGGAAUAAAGUCGGGUAUGCAUACCCGUUUGCAUGUACUUUAUGAAUAAGGAUCGGCUAACUCCGUGCCAGCAGCCGCGGUAAUACGGAGGAUCCGAGCGUUAUCCGGAUUUAUUGGGUUUAAAGGGAGCGUAGGUGGACUGGUAAGUCAGUUGUGAAAGUUUGCGGCUCAACCGUAAAAUUGCAGUUGAUACUGUCAGUCUUGAGUACAGUAGAGGUGGGCGGAAUUCGUGGUGUAGCGGUGAAAUGCUUAGAUAUCACGAAGAACUCCGAUUGCGAAGGCAGCUCACUAGACUGCAACUGACACUGAUGCUCGAAAGUGUGGGUAUCAAACAGGAUUAGAUACCCUGGUAGUCCACACAGUAAACGAUGAAUACUCGCUGUUUGCGAUAUACAGUAAGCGGCCAAGCGAAAGCGUUAAGUAUUCCACCUGGGGAGUACGCCGGCAACGGUGAAACUCAAAGGAAUUGACGGGGGCCCGCACAAGCGGAGGAACAUGUGGUUUAAUUCGAUGAUACGCGAGGAACCUUACCCGGGCUUAAAUUGCAGUGGAAUGAUGUGGAAACAUGUCAGUGAGCAAUCACCGCUGUGAAGGUGCUGCAUGGUUGUCGUCAGCUCGUGCCGUGAGGUGUCGGCUUAAGUGCCAUAACGAGCGCAACCCUUAUCUUUAGUUACUAACAGGUUAUGCUGAGGACUCUAGAGAGACUGCCGUCGUAAGAUGUGAGGAAGGUGGGGAUGACGUCAAAUCAGCACGGCCCUUACGUCCGGGGCUACACACGUGUUACAAUGGGGGGUACAGAAGGCAGCUAGCGGGUGACCGUAUGCUAAUCCCAAAAGCCUCUCUCAGUUCGGAUCGAAGUCUGCAACCCGACUUCGUGAAGCUGGAUUCGCUAGUAAUCGCGCAUCAGCCAUGGCGCGGUGAAUACGUUCCCGGGCCUUGUACACACCGCCCGUCAAGCCAUGGGAGCCGGGGGUACCUGAAGUACGUAACCGCAAGGAUCGUCCUAGGGUAAAACUGGUGACUGGGGCUAAGUCGUAACAAGGUAGCCGUACCGGAAGGUGCGGCUG